rnacentral:rRNA from 1 species
CGCGCUUCCCAGCCGGUUUAACGGGGCCAAGGUACUCUGCUCCCUAGACCUUAACGGCGGACGGGUGAGUAAUGCUUAGGAAUCUCGCCUAUUCAGUCGGCGGGACAACGUUUCGAAAGGAACGCUAAUACCGCAUACGUCCUACGGGAGAAAGCAGGGGAUCAUUUGACCUUGUGCUAAUAGAUGAGCCUAAGUCGGAUUAGCUAGUUGGUGGGGUAAAGGCCUACCAAGGCGACCAUCUGUAGCGGGUCUGAGAGGAUGAUCCGCCACACUGGGACUGAGACACGGCCCAGACUCCUACGGGAGGCAGCAGUGGGGAAUAUUGGACAAUGGGCGCAAGCCUGAUCCAGCCAUGCCGCGUGUGUGAAGAAGGCCUUAUGGUUGUAAAGCACUUUAAGCGAGGAGGAGGAGCUUCAGGUUAAUACCCUGGAUGCUUGGACGUUACUCGCAGAAUAAGCACCGGCUAACUCUGUGCCAGCAGCCGCGGUAAUACAGAGGGUGCAAGCGUUAAUCGGAUUUACUGGGCGUAAAGCGUGCGUAGGCGGCUAAUUAAGUCAAAUGUGAAAUCCCCGAGCUUAACUUGGGAAUUGCAUUCGAUACUGGUUAGCUAGAGUAUGGGAGAGGAUGGUAGAAUUCCAGGUGUAACGGUGAAAUGCGUAGAGAUCUGGAGGAAUACCCGAUGGCGAAAGGCAGCAUCUGGGCCUAAUACUGACGGCUGAAGUACGGCAAGCUUGGGGGGAGCCACACCGUGGAUUUCGAUUCCCUCGGUUAGUUCCAUUGCCCGUACACCCAUUGUCUUCCUACGCCGUUGGGGGCCUUUUGGACCUUAUUGGGCGCAGUUAGGCGAUAGUACGCU